rnacentral:rRNA from 1 species
AUUGAACGCUGGCGGCAGGCUUAACACAUGCAAGUCGAGCGGAGCGAGGGUGCUUGCACCUUAGCUUAGCGGCGGACGGGUGAGUAAUGCUUAGGAAUCUGCCUAUUAGUGGGGGACAACAUUCCGAAAGGGAUGCUAAUACCGCAUACGCCCUACGGGGGAAAGCAGGGGAUCUUCGGACCUCGCGCUAAUAGAUGAGCCUAGGUCGGAUUAGCUAGUUGGUGGGGUAAAGGCCUACCAAGGCGACGAUCUGUAGCGGGUCUGAGAGGAUGAUCCGCCACACUGGGACUGAGACACGGCCCAGACUCCUACGGGAGGCAGCAGUGGGGAAUAUUGGACAAUGGGCGGAAGCCUGAUCCAGCCAUGCCGCGUGUGUGAAGAAGGCCUUUUGGUUGUAAAGCACUUUAAGCGAGGAGGAGGCUACUAGUAUUAAUACUACUGGAUAGUGGACGUUACUCGCAGAAUAAGCACCGGCUAACUCUGUGCCAGCAGCCGCCGUAACAC